CUGAAUGCAAAAUAUUAUCUUAAUUUCGCAAUAAUGUAAAAUUGUUACCGUAGUCGUAAAUUCUAUACUAUAUUAAUAUAUAGUGUAGGAAAUCCAACAUGGGACGGAACUCGUGUAACUAAAUAAAUAACACCGGACGGAAUUGGUAUAUCCUUAAAUUCAAAUUUUACUUUUGGGACGGAAUUCGGAUGCAGCGGGCACGCAUCGCGCGCGCACCAGCUCGUUUACCAAUGAAAACGACCGUUUGAAAAAGUAUCACGGCGUUCCGUACCGCGGUUGUCCGAACCGCGAAUUCCCGAUGUUUGUAAAUGGUGUGGCGGAC